UACGAGGGGGCGAGCGUUGUUCGGAAUUAUUGGGCGUAAAGGGUGCGUAGGCGGUUUGGUAAGUCUGAUGUGAAAUCUAUGGGCUCAACUCAUAGUCUGCAUCGGAAACUGCCGGGCUUGAGUGUGGGAGAGGUGAGUGGAAUUCCGCGUGUAGCAGUGAAAUGCGUAGAGAUGCGGAGGAACACCGAUGGCGAAGGCAGCCCCCUGGCUGACACUGACGCUGAGGCACGAAAGCGUGGGGAGCAAACAGG
rnacentral:rRNA from 1 species